rnacentral:rRNA from 1 species
GCUCGUAAUGACAUGCUUAACACAUGCAAGUCGAGCUGGUGAUGGUAGCUUGCUACCUAACCUACGGCGUGACUGUGUGUGAGUAAUGCUUAGUGAAUCUGCCAUUUAAGUGUGUGUGUGACAACAUUCCGAAAGUGAAUAGCUAAUACCUGCAUACUGUCCUACGUGGAGAAAGCAGUGGUGAUCUUCUGUGACCUUGCGCUAAAUGAUGAGCCUAAUGUCGGAUUAGCUAGUUUGGUGGUGUGUAAAGUGCCAACCAAGGCGACGAUCUGUAGCGGGUCUGAGAGGAUGAUCCGCCACACUGGGGACUGAGGACACGUGCCCAGACUCCUACGGGAGGCAGCAGUGGGGAAUAUUUGGACAAUGGGCGGAAGCCUGAUCCAGCCAUGCCGCGUGUGUGCAAAGAAAUGCCUUUUGGUUGAAAAAGCACUUUAAAGCGAANGAGGGAGGGCUACUAGUAACUAAUUAACUACUUGGAUAGUGGAGCCGUUAACUCCGCAGAAUAAAGCCACCGGGNUNNAACUCUGUGCCAGCAGGCCGGCGGGUAAUACAUGACGGUUGCAAGA